rnacentral:rRNA from 1 species
CGCCUUGCCAGCCCGCUACCGAAACUCAAAGGAAUUGACGGGGGCCGCACAAGCGGUGGAGCAUGUGGUUAAUUCGAAGCAACGCGAAGAACCUACCAGGCCUUGACAUGCAGAGAACUUCAGAGAUGGAUUGGUGCCUUCGGGAACUCUGACACAGGUGCUGCAUGGCUGCCGUCAGCUCGUGUCGUGAGAUGUUGGGUUAAGUCCCGUAACGAGCGCAACCCUUGUCCUUAGUUACCAGCACGUUAUGGUGGGCACUCUAAGGAGACUGCCGGUGACAAACCGGAGGAAGGUGGGGAUGACGUCAAGUCAUCAUGGCCCUUACGGCCUGGGCUACACACGUGCUACAAUGGUCGGUACAAAGGGUUGCCAAGCCGGCGAGGUGGAGCUAAAUCCCAUAAAACCGAUCGUAGUCCGGAUCGCAGUCUGCAACUCGACUGCGUGAAGUCGGAAUCGCUAGUAAUCGUGAAUCAGAAUGUCACGGUGAAUACGUUCCCGGGCCUU